GCGACACAUUUAGUAUUAACUCUGAAAAAAUCAUAGUAGUGAAGAAUCUUUGGAUUUUUGAAAGUGCUUUAGAAAAAAUAUACUAUCGAAGAAUAUUGACAUUAUAAGUUCUGAUUUGGAGAAAAAACAUAAUAAUGAAGAAGGUUUGGACUGUACCUCAAUCUUUUGACUGUAUUUUGACAUCCUUGUUAGCCCACACCUAUACAAUUAGAUUAGGAUUCGUAGAAGCUAGUAAGGGUCAAAUAUGUAAGAAUAAGAAGUAAAUGAUAAAUAUUAAAGUUAAAAGGCAUUACAGACCGACAAUUAUGGAGGGAAUACCAAUAUUUCCUAAAACAGUGGGCAAGGAAGGGUGUUCUUCGGACGUCUUCAUUGGCAUCAAAGGAAACAGAAUUUGUGUAAUCAUAGAGAGAACGUUUUUAUUUUUUUGCUUCCCCAAAAUAAGAAAUAGACAAAAAAAAGGUAGAUGUAGAUGAGGCUAUAGGAAUUAAUUCAUAAAGUUAGAGGUAUGAGGAAAUUGAAAUAGAAAAACGGUGUUGAAAGUUUACAGAAUAUUUGUUUGAUGAAAAGAAACGGUGUGGGAAGAAGGGAAAUUGAAUAGGGAAAAUGGAGUUGAAAGUUUACAGAAGGU
rnacentral:lncRNA from 1 species